CCUACGGGUGGCAGCAGUGAGGAAUAUUGGUCAAUGGACGAGAGUCUUAACCAGCCAUGCCGCGUGAAGGAUGACUGCUCUAUGGGUUGUAAACUUCUUUUAUAUGGGAAUAAACUUUCCUACGUGUCUGACUUUGUAUGUACUAUACGAAUAAGGAUCGGCUAACUCCGUGCCAGCAGCCGCGGUAAUACGGAGGUUCCGAGCGUUAUCCGGAUUUAUUGGGUUUAAAGGGAGCGUAGGUGGAUUGUUAAGUUAGUGGUGCAAGUUUCCGGCUCAACUGUGGAAUUGCAGUUGAAACUGGCAGUCUUGAGUACAGUAGAGGUGGGCGGAAUUCGUGGUGUAGCGGUGAAAUGCUUAGAUAUCACGAAGAACUCCGAUUGCGAAGGCAGCUCACUGGACUGCAACUGACACUGAGGCUCGAAAGUGUGGGUAUCAAACAGGAUUAGAUACCCCAGUAGUC
rnacentral:rRNA from 1 species